AUUAAGUUAGCAAAAAGAAAUGUGUUUGAUUUAGGAUCAAAAGGUAGAGGGAACUUUACUUAAUA
rnacentral:tRNA from 1 species